AGAGUUUGAUCCUGGCUCAGGAUGAACGCUAGCGACAGGCCUAACACAUGCAAGUCGAGGGGCAGCGAAGAGGUAGCAAUACCUUUGUCGGCGACCGGCGCACGGGUGAGUAACACGUAUGCAAUCCACCUGUAACAGGGGGAUAACCCGGAGAAAUCCGGACUAAUACCCCAUAAUAUGGGCGCUCCGCAUGGAGAGCCCAUUAAAGAGAGCAAUUUUGGUUACAGACGAGCAUGCGCUCCAUUAGCCAGUUGGCGGGGUAACGGCCCACCAAAGCGACGAUGGAUAGGGGUUCUGAGAGGAAGGUCCCCCACAUUGGAACUGAGACACGGUCCAAACUCCUACGGGAGGCAGCAGUGAGGAAUAUUGGUCAAUGGUCGGCAGACUGAACCAGCCAAGUCGCGUGAGGGAAGACGGCCCUACGGGUUGUAAACCUCUUUUGUCGGAGAGUAAAGUACGCUACGUGUAGUGUAUUGCAAGUAUCCGAAGAAAAAGCAUCGGCUAACUCCGUGCCAGCAGCCGCGGUAAUACGGAGGAUGCAAGCGUUAUCCGGAUUUAUUGGGUUUAAAGGGUGCGUAGGCGGCACGCCAAGUCAGCGGUGAAAUUUCCGGGCUCAACCCGGAGUGUGCCGUUGAAACUGGCGAGCUAGAGUACACAAGAGGCAGGCGGAAUGCGUGGUGUAGCGGUGAAAUGCAUAGAUAUCACGCAGAACCCCGAUUGCGAAGGCAGCCUGCUAGGGUGAAACAGACGCUGAGGCACGAAAGCGUGGGUAUCGAACAGGAUUAGAUACCCUGGUAGUCCACGCAGUAAACGAUGAAUACUAACUGUUUGCGAUACAAUGUAAGCGGUACAGCGAAAGCGUUAAGUAUUCCACCUGGGGAGUACGCCGGCAACGGUGAAACUCAAAGGAAUUGAC
rnacentral:rRNA from 1 species